rnacentral:rRNA from 1 species
UACGAAGGGGGCUAGCGUUGCUCGGAAUCACUGGGCGUAAAGGGCGCGUAGGCGGAUCUUUAAGUCAGGGGUGAAAUCCUGGAGCUCAACUCCAGAACUGCCUUUGAUACUGAGGAUCUUGAGUUCGGGAGAGGUGAGUGGAACUGCGAGUGUAGAGGUGAAAUUCGUAGAUAUUCGCAAGAACACCAGUGGCGAAGGCGGCUCACUGGCCCGAUACUGACGCUGAGGCACGAAAGCGUGGGGAGCAAACAGG